UACGUAGGGGGCAAGCGUUGUCCGGAUUUAUUGGGCGUAAAGAGCGUGUAGGCGGCCUGGAAGGUCAGCUGUGAAAACUCGAGGCUCAACCUCGAGACGUCGGUUGAAACCACCUGGCUAGAGUCCGGAAGAGGAGAAUGGAAUUCCCGGUGUAGCGGUGAAAUGCGCAGAUAUCGGGAAGAACACCCGUAGCGAAGGCGGUUCUCUGGGACGGUACUGACGCUGAGACGCGAAAGCGUGGGGAGCGAACAGG
rnacentral:rRNA from 1 species